CUUUUCGAGGUAGGAGUCGACUCCUGUGAGGUAUGGUGCUGGGUGCAGAUGCAGUGUGGCUCUGGAUAGCACCUUAUGGACAGUUGUGUCCCCAAGGAAGGAUGAGAAUAGCUACUGAAGUCCUAAAGAGCAAGCCUAACUCAAGCCAUUGGCACACAGGCAUUAGACAGAAAGCUGGAAGUUGAAAUGGUGGAGUCCAACUUGCCUGGACCAGCUUAAUGGUUCUGGCAGACCUGUUAUCCUAAACUAGGGUUUUUAAUGACCACAACAAGCAAGCAUGCAGCUUACUGCUUGAAAGGGUCUUGCCUCACCCAAGCUAGAGUGCAGUGGCCUUUGAAGCUUACUACAGCCUCAAACUUCUGGGCUCAAGUGAUCCUCAGCCUCCCAGUGGUCUUUGUAGACUGCCUGAUGGAGUCUCAUGGCACAAGAAGAUUAAAACAGUGUCUCCAAUUUUAAUAAAUUUUUGCAAUCCA
rnacentral:lncRNA from 1 species